UAUUGAUAGGGAGGAAGGCAGUCUGGGGCUGGAGAAGAGUGUCUCAGCCCACUCAAGGUUCGUGAAUUAAAAGCUCCCUGUGGACUGUGGCUGUGAGGUUGCUGCAUCUAGUAUGUUGCUCCAUUCAAAUUAAAUAGCUCUGUCUUGCUCUAUGAUGGGAGCUGAUAACUUAAAGGACACUUCACAUGCCUGAUCAUACAGUUAACAAGAUUUCUUAAGUUAUGAAAUCAAACUGUCAUCAAAUCAAUUUGGAGUGUUCACUGAGUGGUAUCAAUUACAGAUACACUUGAACAUCACUAGUGAGAAUAAACACAAAAGUAAAAAGAAAUUAAAGAAUAGAAGAAAGGAGAUAUACUGUAUUUACUCAAAGGAAGUUUUCAAUACAUGGCUUAACUUGGAAGAAAAUACAUAGAAAAACUACUAGUAAAGGUAAAAAUAAGUCAGUAUAUUUAGAAGUUUAUCAAUUCAAGCAGAAGUAAAAGAAAAGAGCCAGAACUUCAGUACAUACUAACAUACUUUUAGCCUUUAGUUUUAAUUAAUGAAAUUGCUAAACUCAUUUCUUGACAGCUUAAAGAAAAGCUGGAUGAAAAAAGUCACAAUCAUAAUAAAAUAGGAAUCUAACCAUCUACAAUUGUAAAUCAUAAAGUUGGCAGCAAAGCACACAUUUCUACUGGCUUAAACCAAACACAGGCAUUACUACAUUCCAUUAACAGACUGAGCACAUGGCAUCCAAUGCCUUUCAGGAAUGUUCCCAACUCCUUCACUGCAAACCUUGCAGGCCAGCAUGUCUACCUCACACGGUACCCACUGCACACCAUGGGGUCAGCUCUUCCUAAAAGUCUGCAAGACAAUUUCUCUUUCAAGCAUUUGCCCCAAACACUGUCUUAGAUACUGUGGGAAAUAAAAUCAAGAUUCCAACACAGAUUUUCUACAGGCCAGUAGAAUGAGAUACAGCAGGCAAGAGUAAUAAAAUGGUUGAUUUAUGCUAAAUACUUUAGAAUAUUCUGUAACAGUAUCAGACACAAAGAUUCCACCUUCACCCAACAAGGAGCUCAGAGAGCCAUAGGCAGAGCCUGAUGAAUACAGAUGCAUACCACAGGUGCAGAGGUGAAUGACAGGAUAUGGCUCACAAAGUCAGUAAGCCAGUGUGUGCACAGGCAGUUUCACUCCCUUUAAUAACAUAGAUAUGAAACAGGAAAACCUCAUUCAAUGUAGACCAAACACGAAACCAGAGCUAUCUUAAUUUUACAAGGAAUGACCUUCUUAUCUUUUUAAAUUGCCUAAACAAGAAUGGCUUGAAAUUACACAGAACAGUUUUCCUCUCACUGACCCAAUGUUAUUUCUCAAAGUAAUAAUAAAAGAGUAUUAUUAUCAUUAGUUGAUAUAUAAAUAUGAAUUUGGCAGUAACUUCAUCUUAAAGUUUUAAAAUUUAUUAGGCCUUAAAUAGUAAUAUGGAUACAUUUGCUUGACAAGUAAAAAAAAGUUAACUUACAACUAUCUACUUAUAAAUUAAUUUUUAUUGCAUUUAUUUGCCCAGCUUUCCUUCUUUUUAAAUUUAUUUACAUUCCAGUAUUUGCAAGGCCUUCUCAGUCUUCUCUCCCACAGUUCCUCAUUCCAUUCCUCAUCCCCCUUCCCUCUAAGAGGGUGCUCCCCUUAACCUGGCCUCCCCUUCCCCAGAGGCCUCAAGUCUCUCAAGGAUUAAGCACAUCUUCUCCCACUAAGGCCUGACCAGGUAGAUCUCUGCUAUAUCUCUGCCAGGGGCCUUAGACUGGCACAUGUAUGCUCCUGGAUGGUGGCUCAGUUUCUGGGAGCUCCCAGGGGCCUGGGUAAAUUGAGACUGUUGGUCUUCCUAUGGGGUCACUCGUCCCUUCAGCUUCUUCAGUCCUUCUCCUAAUUCAACCAUAGGGGUCCCUGACUUCAGCUCAAUGGUUGGGUGUAAGUAUCUGUCUCAGUCAGCUGCUGAUAGAGCCUCUCAUAGGACAGCCUUGCUAGGCUCCAGUCUGUAAGCACAUCAUACCAUCAAUAAUAGUGUCAGGCCUUGGUGCCCUCCUAUGAGAUGGAUCCCAAGUUGGGCUAGUCAUUGGACCACCUUUCCUUCAGUCUCUUCUCCAUUUUUGUCCCAGCAGUUCUUUUAGACAAGGGCAGUUCUGGGUCAGACAUUUUGACUUUAGGUUAGUAACCCUGUCCCUCUGCUUGAGGCACUGUCUAUCUGCAGGAGGUGGACUCUUUUAGUUCCCUCUCCAAUGUUGGGCAUUUUGGCUAAGGUCAUUCCCUCUUAUGUCCUUAAAAAAACCAAGAGGUGGUUCUUUGAUAAGAUAGAUAUAUCUUGGCACAGAGACAGUAUUGAAAUUAACAAAAUCAGAAAUGAAAAGAGAGAUUUAACAACAGAAACUGAGGUAAUUCAAAAUAUCAUCAGAACCUACUACAACAGCCUAUACUCUAACAAACUGGCCACUUUUCUGAAGUUGUUUAUCAGCUGUAGGAGUUCUAUGGUAGAAUUUUGGGGCUCAUUUAUGCAUACAUAUUAUCAUAUCAUCUGCAUAUAAGUGGCCAGAUGUAAAAUCAAACAAACCAACAGCCUUCCUCUACACAAAUGAUACAGGCUGAGAAAGAAAUUAGGGAAACAAUAUCCUUCACAAUAGCCACAAAUAGUAUAAAAAACAUUGUUGUAUCUCUUACCAAGCAAGUAAAAGAGUUGUAUGACAAGAACUUCAAGUCUCUGGACAAAGAAAUUGAAGAAGACCUCAGAAGAUGGAAAGAUCUUGCAUGCUCAUGGGUCAGCAGGAUUGACACAGUAAAAAUGGCUAUCUUACCAAAAGUAAUGUACAGAUUCAAUGCAAUCCCCAUCAAAAUACCAACAUAAUUCUCCACAGACAUGGAAAGAGCAAUUCUCAACUUCAUAUGAAAAAAAAAAAACCAAAAUAGCCAAAACAAUCUUCAACAAUAAAAGAACUUACAGGGAAUCACCAUCACAGACCUCAAGUUGUACUACAAAACAAUAGUGAUAAAACUGCAUGGUCCUGGUACAGAGACAGGCAUGUAGAUCAAGGGAAUAAAAUGUAAGGCUCAGAAGUAAACCCACACACCUAUGGAACUUGACUUUGACAAAGAAGCCAAAAAAAAAAAAAAAAAAAAAAAACAAUGGAAAAAAAGUAUCAUUAAUGAAUGGUGCUGGUCUAACAGGAGAAUGAAGACAGAUCCAGAUUCAUCACCCUGUACAAAGCUCAAGUCAAAAUUGAUCAAGGACCUCGACACAAAAUCAGAAACACUGAAUCUAACAGAGGAGAAAGUGGGAAAGAGCCUUGAAGUCAUUGGCACAUGGGGGAAAUUUUCUAAACAGAACAUCAAUGGGUCAGGCUCUAAGAUCAACAAUCGAUAAAUGGGACCUCAUAAAACUGAAAAGCUUCUGUAAAGCAAAGAAUACCAUCAAUAGAACAAAUUAGCAACCUACAGAUUGGGGGAAAAAUCUUCAAUAACCCUAGGUCUGACCAAGGACUAAUAUAAAAAAUAUAUAAAGAACUCAAGAAGUUAAAUUCCAAGGAACCAAAUAACCCUAUUAAAACAUGGGAUACAAAAAUAAACAAAGAAUUCUCAACUGAGGCAUAUCAAAUGUCUGAGAAGCACCUAAAGAAAUGUUUCAACAUCCUUAAUCAUCAGGGAAAUGCAAAUUAAAAUUACCCCAAGAUUUCCCCCUUACACCAGUCAGAAUGGCUAAGAUAAAAAACUCAAGUGACAGCACAUGCUGGCAAAAGAAAGAGAAAGACUUCUCCAUUGCUGGUAGGAUUGCAAGCUGGUACAACCACCUGGAAAUCAGUCUGGCAGUUCCUCAGUAAAUUGGAAAUAGUUCUACCUGAAGACCCAGCUUAUACCACUCGAGCAUAUACCCAAAAGAUGCUCUACCAUACCAUAAGGACACAUGUUCCACCAUGUUCAGAGCAGCAUUAUUUAUAAUAACCAGAAACUGCAAACUGCCCAGAUGUCCCUCAACCGAAGAAUGGAUACAGAAAAUGUGGUUCAUUUACAUGGUGGAAUACUAUACAGCCAAUAAAAAUGAGGACAUUAUGAAUUUUGCAGGAAAAUGGAUGGAACCAGAAAAUAUCAUUCUGAGCAAGGUAACUCUGACCCCAAAAGACAUACAUACUAUGUACUCACUGAUUAAUAGCUAUUAGCCAAAAAGUAUAGAAUACCUAAGACAUAACCCAUAGACUGUAAGAAGUGUAACAAGUAGAAAGUUCCAAGUGAUGAUGCUUCAAUCCCACUUAGAAGGGGGGAGGAAAUAAUCAUGGGAGGCAUAGGGAGGGAGGAAACUAUAUGGGAGAGAGAAGGGGAAGGGAAAAGGAGAACAUGAUCAGGUAUGGGGGUACAGGAGAAAAGUCCAGAGGCCCAAGAGAAAGAAUGGAGAUAAGCAGCUUAGGGAGGGUGGCAUAUGAGGGGACCUUCUAGAAAGUACCAGAGACCAGGGAGGUGAGUGACAGCUUGUUUUCUUCAUACCAGUUUUAAUAUAAUUUCCCAGUAAGCUAGUAUUAUUCACAGGUUAAUAUUUUGGGUAAAAUCCUUUAAUAACUUCCCUUUAUGAAAGUAACACAAUACAGUAAGAACAAAGGGAGGAGGAAACUUAGCCCAUCAAGGUAUAAAAUGCUUUGGUUGGUUUGUAUUUUAAUCUGGAUACAUUUUCUUUCAGGCAGUAAACUUAUCAAUAAAAUAAGAAUUUAUUUCAGUAAUGUAUUUACAUAUAAAAUAGAGUAGAAGGUUUUCCCUGGACUCUUGUAAUAAAAUUAUUUAUAAUUGAGAAAAGUUUUCCUAUGCUAUAACUCUUUGAUAGUUUUUAAUUAUUAAUAAUAUGCAAACUAGUUUAUUUUCUUAAGAAAGCCCCAGAUUCUACAAUAUAAAGUUCUUAAUCUAAUAACUAGUUUAAAGGAAUAUUAAAAGCACAUUGCAAAUAUUAUCUACAUACAUCAUAGCCAGAGGCAGAUAGACAGAACUUAUUGUCGGAAAAGAACCAGAAGUCCCUGGGCCAAAAAUAUUCAUAUACUAACUAUAAGUUCCUUGAGCUUCACAUGGUCUCAUGUGUAGGGAGCGUGAGCUCCACAUGUUCUCAUAUGUACUUCAUUAUCAAAUCAACUGGAUCUAGAGUAGACCAGGAGAUAUUCAUCUCUUUUUGCCUGUGGGGUUAUUAGACUAAGUUUGCCUCUGGCAGGGCUUUGGAGGAUUUUCCACCCAUACUCAAGUUUUCUGUGCAUCCUUGACUGAAUGCAAAGUCACCCAGCUGCAUGAGCUGCUGAGAAGGUCAUAAGAGGAACAGGGAUUCUGUGAGCACUGAGCUCCAAAGCUACUUAUCAGUUCCCCAGUCUUCAGGAUGGUGAAGUUCCAUUCUGUGGCCUGGGGUACAAUGGUUCCUCUUCCCUCCAUGGUGAUGGUAUGGAAUCCCAAUAGUUUGCUAUACAACACCCCCUAGCAACAUACUGAUUUCCCAUGAAAAUUCAGGCACCAGUAGCUAUCUGAACCACUUUUUUGUGAACCACUAAGCCAUAUCACAAUAUUGCACACACAAAAAAGUUAUAAAGAAUAGAGAAUCAUUGUUCUCCAGGACAUGUUAUCUAACCCCAAGAAAUGAGCCCUAAGUAUAUUUAUACAUCCAAACAACACUAAACAGACUCGGCAGUUGUGUACAUGUCUGUAUGUGUAUGUGUGUGUAUAUAUGCACAAAUAUAUAACACAGUAUUAGCUAAAGAAAAAGACGUAAUUAAUUUGAGAAGGAAUGGAAGGACUUGAAGUGGUGAGAAGUUGGAAAAAUACAGUAUUCAUGGAUGAAGGUCUUAAAACGACAAAUAAAUAUUGCUCAUAAAUGCAAAGAACAAACAAACAAACAGAUAAAAAGUGUUAAUAUCACCAAGGCUUACAACCAGCCUACUGAGAAGCAGAAUAGAUAUUACAUAAAAAUAACACUGUCUCCAUUAACAUUUCUUUGUACUUAAGUAUUGAUGACUUAUGCCAUAUUUUCUCUUAGAGGAUGCUCAUAAAUGAUAUUAUAUUCAAAAUAAAAAACAUAGAUGUAAAUGAUUGUGAAAUAAAUAUCACACACAUUUGCUAACAAAGACCUGUUAAAUUUGACUUUCACUUCAUGAUCAGGGUAAAGUCCUGUAUUAUAUGGGAUCUUUACCUUAAAACAGAGGCAAAAGGAAUCACUUCUCAUGAAUAAGUUCAAAGGCAUUUUAAACACUCUUCAACAUCAAUGUGUUUGCUUUGAAUGUGUUACACUGUAGGCACACAAUGGCAUGGGCUCCUGUGGAUGUGGGAGCACAGUUACGAGAGCUGCUCCUCCCCUCCUGUGGACUCUGGAGGAUGAAGGUCCUGAUGGAGGCCAAGUGCCUGUACCUGCUGAGCCUCUCCACCAGCUCAGUUUUCACAUUUCUUAGAGGAAGCAUCUUUGGUGAGCUGAGGCUUAUUGUCCUUGUAUCUUUGACAGUUCUAGAAUGGAAUUCAGGAAAUGCAUCUCUGGGCAGGCUCAGCUAGCACACUCUACUAACCUAAACAUAGAUCAUAGAAUGUGUGCCUCUAAAAAAAGCUUAGGUUGCUUCCAAGUAUUAUUCUUUGUUCCUAAGAGAAAAGAAACUUGUAAGUUAUGGUGUCAAGUGGCAGCCCAAUAUCUACUGUCGGCCUGGACUAGGCCCUUGAGAUCGCCUUCUCUUCACAAGUUAGUACUCAUUGGCUCAGAGUCUACUUUGUAUGGAGUAAGGAAAAGCGCCUUGAUCUCUCAAGUUACCUUAAUUUAUUACAAUAUGAUAGGCACAGCUUUCCUAUGUGCUGUGACAAAGGAAAUCCUCACCUCCAAAUCAACUAAAGUAACCAAACACUGAUUCAAACACUGAGAGAGAAGCUGGGCAAGGCUCAAGCAAGUCAUGUUAUCUCAUCAGAGGUAUUACUGAACUAAACAUAAAACAAUGAGACAUCAUUUUUCUUGCACAUCUAUAGAAUUUUAACCUCCUUAUUGUUACAUUUUUAAAUUUUGAUUGUUUCUAUGAACAUUAUUUUUAUCAUUUUAAUUAUAUGCAUUUGUGCAUGCCUUCAUGUGCAUAUAUGCACAUGAGCAGAGGUGCCCAAGGAGCCAAUAAGAGGGUAUUAGAGUCCCAGGAGUUAGAGAUGGCUGUGAACAGGACAACAUGAGAUGUGACAACUGAACACUGGUCCUCUACAAGACUAGUACACAAUCUUAACUGCUAAGACAUCUUUGCUGCUUCCAUGAGUAUAUCCACUUUCUUCCCAUAACUUGUACUCACCAUACUUUUUACACAGAGUAAUAAACAACAAUUUUAAGCUCUUAUAUAAAACAAGAGCUCUAUUCUGUCCAACUUGUUUAUUAAAAUGAUGAUGGGGGUGGUGAGAAUGAGAGUAUGUGUAGAACUGAUGGUGGUGGUGGUGAGAGUGAGAGUAUGUGUAGAACUGAGCAUCACCAUGUUCCAGGGCAAGAACAAUAAUCAAGGAAGCAGAUUCCAGGUACAGAGUCAGUGCCAUAAUACAUCUCCAACUGUGUGCUAAAGCUGGCAUGGGCAAGCUUGGGACAGCCUGCUGCUUGCUUUCAGACUUUUUUUUUUUUUGAAAGACUACUAAAGCCUACCUAAUAUUAAACAUCUAAUUAUGUAAAAUUCCAAUUCAGUGAAAUGUUAAAAACAAUUCUAGUAAUAACUUUAAAUACUUCCUAAUUAUUUAACAGCAUCUUAUUGUCAUCCUCACUUUAAGUUAUUUAUAUGGCUAUUAUCUGCACAUCCCAUCCAGUCUUCUACUUGGAAACAUCACACAAGUAGGUUGGAACUAUCUGUGGCCAAAGUAUUUUCACCAUGGUAAUAAUCAAAUGCUACACAUCUCUCAUCUCAAGCUGGCCCUGAAAGUCAAUUGAUGGAUAGACCAUCACCAGCACAGUACUGUAGUUCUUAAGCACAAAGAGCUGAGCACAUUCACAAUGAACACUAAAACAAAGCAUGACAUCACCUUCAUAAUAGCAUCACACAUAGCAAAUGUGAGCAAACAGGUUACAACAGUAUCUAAGUUAGAGUUUCUAUUAGUGUGAUACAACAUUUGGACCCAGGCAACUUAUAGAAGAGUUACAUGGGGCUUACAGUAUCAGAGGAUUAGGGUCCCUAGUGGUUGAGGACAACAGGCAGCAGACACAGGAGCUGGAGCUAGAACAGGAGAGCUGAGUGCUUGCUCGUAUCUUGGAUUACAAGCAGGAAGCUGAGAGUUGACUUGAAAUAUCAUGAGCUUUUACACUGCACCACCCCAGUGACAUACUAAGUUUCAGCAAACAGCACCAGCUGUUGAGUAAGUGCCAGAGAAUUGGGGCCACAGUCACCAUUUAAACCACCAACUGUCAUUCGGCUAGCCCCCUGAAGUAACAAUAUGUCACCAUUACAUGAAACUUAAAAGAUUUGUAAGAUUUCAUAUCAAAACUAAUUCAGUUUUUAGCAGGUGGGGGAGGGGCUGAAGGAUGACUUAGGAAUUUAAAGCUCCUACUGCUCUGAGACACAGUUCAGAUCCCAGCACCAGCUACAAAUGCCUGUUAUUUUAGUUCCAAGGGAUCUGACACCUUUUUUCUGGCCCCAUGGGUAUAUGUAUACCUGAAUAAGGGGACACACACACACACACACACACACACACCUUUAAAAGUGUAUACAAGAAAGAGAGCCCAAGCCACCAGAAAAGGAGUAAUAAAAAUCAAAGGACUCUGGAUGCUUUAAUCUGUAUCUAAGGAUUCUUUCUAUUUUCAUAGUUUGGAAUAAGUUUUCUCUUUUUUAAAUAUACCCCUUUGCAAUUUAACAAAUCAAGGAUGUUCCCAAAGCCAUAUAAUAAAGUACUAGGAAAAUAAAACAAACAAAACCAAACAAACAAACAAAAAACUUCCUAAUGCUUCCCAAAGCCCGAUAAUAAAGUACUAGAAAAAAAAAAAACUUCCUAAUGCUAAGUCUAAAUAUUCACCAAUGCAAUAAUCAUGAAAUAGGCAGCACCCAGACUAGUUUUGACAUGUGUAAUGAUAAAAGGGGGAAAGGAAAGAAUGUUAAGUAAAUAUGUGGGUAGUAAGAAUAGAAAGUGAGACUCUUUGAAAGACAACCACCCGUGGGGUUUAUUUGAACUGUACUCUCUUGAAGGACUACUGUUCAGAUCCAUGACCAUGGAACUACAGCACUCACAAAAUACAAUCAGUAAAACAAAGCCAAAAAUUAUUGGUGACUAGGUAAAAUGGCUAUUUACAGAGAAUGAAAGAUUUUGUUUUUUAAUCAAAGCAGGAAAUAGACAUUUGGGGGCUUCUUCUCAUGAUGGAGAAACAAGGGAAUAGUGGUCUAAAAUAUGAAUGAAGUAUUCUGAAUAAAACUGAAACUUUGUUACAUCAAAGAGAAAAGAGAAUGAGAAAGAAAACGUAAAAUAGAGCAAGGCUCAUAUAUCUUGCAAAUACCCGUCACUGUCAAAAUCAGCCUGUACUGUUAUUGGGGACUUCUUUUGAUCAUCUUGGAUUAAACAAAAACUUAUCCUCCUUUUUCCUUUUUCAUUCAUGCACAUGACAAUCAGGGAAAUAUAAAACCAAAAAGAACUCUCGAGGAAUGUCAGAAAGGCUGCUAGCCACCAUCUGUCUCUUAUAUGCUACAGAUCUCAGUGAUGAAUGGAUCCAAAUAAAACCCUCAAAACUAAAUUCAAUACUAUACUGUUGUCAUCACCACCAUCAUCAUCAUCACCAUCAGUAAGCCAGAGUAAGAGAGAUGUAGGAAGUAACCAAGCACCUUGUGCACAUGCCUUCUAAAAGAAUAAGUGCAAACCAUGUUGUAAACUCUCUACAUUAGAACCCAUAGCACAUUCUAAUUAGUCACUUUAGAAAUAUCCGACUUUCAUAUAGGCUGUAAUUUAUAUUUUACAUGAAAUUUAUAAAAAACAAGGGUUCAGUGGUAUCUUGGGUAAAAAGAUUGUAAAGAAUGCAGAAUAUGCAAUUAUAUGCUGAGAAAUCUAAAAUGCCAAGAGAUAGUUUUUUACUCUUAAGCUUCUCUAGAUUCCUAGCUCUUUUAAAAAAAAAAUCAACAUUAUUUCAAGAGGAAACUUAAGCUUUUCCGGCUUUUCUUCACCACACAGACCCCUGGACAUAAAGGGUGCAUAUUACUGCUCCUUCGUCAACACAGCUUGAUUUUGAAAAGAACAAAGUUCUGGUCCCAGGGAUUUGUUUAAAGAUUUCAACUUUAAAACCAUUAUUGGUGGAUUCUUUAACAAGCAAAAAUGGUGAAGUGGAUCUAAAGGGAUAAUAUUUUUAAGGACUUUAAGAAAGGUAAGAUUGUAGAAAUACAAUAUGUUCUGAUAUUUGUGCUUUCGCCCAUAAAGUUCAGCACAUAUCCAUAACAAUCAAAAGUCUAAUAAAUGUAUAUUUGCUACCAGAUUCAGUAUUCAGAAUUCUUCUGUUUACCAAAUUGGAGAAGUCUUUCUAAAUUAGAUUUUUAACACCCUUUCAACUUUCAUUAUCAGAUUUCACAAGGGCAUAAAUUCCAAAGAACUUUUCAUUAAAUGUAAAAGAUAUAGUCUCAUGUUCCUCCUGAAUCCAUAAUCCCAUACACAACAUAAAAAUAAAGUUUAGAUACAAUAAGGCACCACCAAAGAUUAUGAACAUUAUAAAAACUUUAAAAGCACCCAAGAACAAAGGGCCAGAUUUUCAGCUCUAAAGGGCAGAAGUUAUGUGGAAUAGAGAACAAAGUAAUUAAAACGAAGUUUAUAUUGUAAUUACGCAUUUCGAUUCUAUACUCAAAACUAGUUUUAAAAAAACCAAAUAGGUAUUCAGACAGUGUUAUAGAAAUAAUGCUUUGGCCCUGGAAAAAAAAAUCUAACCACUGACACAAGCUUUAUGCUCCACAAGAGAAGCAAUUCUAAAACAGUGAGUUAGUAAAUAGUUAUCAGAGUACUGGAUGUACUGCACAAAACUUACCGAACUUGAACUACUUGCUGCAGAUGGGCCAGUGAAUCUGAGUCGAGCAUUCUUCAGUUAGAAAGUUAUCUUUAACCAUCCAAAUGAAAAGCCCCAUAAUCUAUUCCACUUCCAUAAUCUCUAGUUCAUCAAAACUACUCUUCUGAAAAGCAGGGAUGAAGUGAGGCUUAGAAGCACAAGGAAGCAUGUAUAUGCAGCCCCACCUCUCUGGGAAACAACAGAAGGACAAUUACCUGGACAGAUCAACCUGAACAACACAGCAAGACCAUGUCAUAAAUGAAAACUAAAUAACCCAGUCAAAUCAAAAUAGGCAUGGUUUAGAAAUUCAUUCACAAAACAGUCAAUACUUCUUACUACUGCCAUGAGCUUGUUCUUAGGAUUGGCAGCUCAGUCAUGAGUCUAAAGAGGAGACCAAUAAAAUAAUACUGUUGGUGGGAAACUAUACUGAGGAAAAGGAGGACUGAAUUUAAAACUAGAGCAAAUUACUAUGAACAUUUUAUUCUGUCCACAGGGCAAACAGAUCUUAUUGUUGUGGGACACAGCAAUCACAUAUCAGCACAACUGUCCUGCACUUGAGUGACUACAGACAACUGUUUAAUUCUAGUAGAGGAAGGGCAAACAUUUUCUUUUAUACUCUGGACUUAAACCUAAAAUUUAGGAAUAAUGUCCCAUUUGCUAGACCACUCAGAAUAUGGACAAAGACUAAAUUAAAAUAAAAGCUGUCAAUGUAGAGCCUUGCCUCGGCAGGGCCUCUCUCUUUAAGGGAUAGAAGGACUGGGCUUCUUCCUCUGAGCUUCUACAGUGGAAUAGGUAAUGUCAGCUCACGCUGGGAAGCCCACUCAGUCCCUGGAACUGAGUCACAAAUACCACAUGUAGAGGACUUCUCAGACCACACCUGGUCCUUGUCUCUUCCCUGAACCUUGUCUGCAGGUCAUGUUAUUCCUAACAACAAGAUUCAUCAUGGUAACAGACAUGAUUCCAGUUCUUUAAAUAGAAAAGAUUCUAAGAUUAAGCACUCUCAAGAUGUUAAGCAGAACUCUAAGCAUCCAAACAAUUGUGGGAGUUUUUAGAACAGUACCACCUAAUUUAUUCCAGUUGAUCAACCAUUUCAAAAUCCCAAAAUGUAGCUGAAAGAUGUGACUAAGAAAUGGGGAUGUUCUCUGAGCUCCCAAGUUCAAAUAUGUAGAAAGUUGAUGGUCACCAAUUCUUAAUCUUCAUGAUGUCACACCUCUAAAUAAUAGAUUUCUUUCCUGUAAGUAACUUGAAAGCAUUUUCCUACCUUAAGUCAUUUAAGAAGCAUAAAACAUCUAAUUUUAAUAAUGAUGUUUUAUUUCUAAUAUUGUAUCCCUAGUAUUAAUAUAGUCUUAAAAUAACAAUUAUACUAGCAUAAACACACACACACACAUACAUAAAUACAUACAUACACCCACAUGCACACACACAGCAAUAUAAGUAUGACAUCUACUUAAUAGAACUAUUGGAAAAAAUUAAGGUGAAUAUAUGAUAUAUCACUGCCUAAAUUCUGAAGUAAAUAUUAAAAUGGAUGGGAUAUAGUUAAUAGAAAAAAUGUCCUUUACAAUAAUCAUGCCAUAGAUACAACACCAUAUUAAAUAACAGACAAAGUUUUUGAAGUGCAUUAUCCUCUCUAAUAUCAUAAAAUACAUAUACUUUCCUAUACUUAUAACUUACACCAUAAUUUACAUAUUCCCAUCCUUCAUACAAUAUCUUUAUAUUUACCAUCUUAUGCCAAUACCUUUAAUAACAAAACUAUUUUGGUAUAGCAUUGGAAAUGUAAAUGAGCUAAAUACCUAAUAAAAAAUGGAAAAAAAAACUAGUACCCAAACCCUUCCAAUGGUCUCUACUCUACCAUCAAUGGAACACUUGGACCUAAUCCAAAGGAUUACUUAUUGAAAAUCCAUAUAUCAUGCUAUCAUUUAAAAACGGUUUUUGAUGUCAAAAAUGAUGGGGCAUCCGAAAUCUAUUAAAAGCUGCUUAGUCUCCUCAGAUAUGCCUACUUGGGUUUAAAUAUUAAGCAACAUAUAUGUAUGUUUAGAUAUCACAUGAGAGUAUAUCAAUAUGUAUAAUUUUGUGGCCUUAUAGAAAAUUCAAAAAUAAAUAUAAGCUAAAGAUAUUGGGGCUGAUAUUGUUGAACAAGGAGAAAAACAGAAUUUGCAUCUUAAUGUUUUCAGAUGGAUUCAAUGAGUCUAAGACAGAUUAAUAAUUAUACUAUGACAAAAAUCACUCUCAGAUUAAUAAGUAGCUUAUCACAUGAGCACUAACACAUGAUUUUAAGGAAGGACUCAUCCUAUGAAUUGUGCUGUGGCAUACGGUCAGGUUGCUGGGAGACUGGAAUUCUCUUCUAUAAGUCUAAGCCUACCUCAGUCACCAUUUCAAUGAUGUGUAACAGAGUCCUUUACUAUGGAUGCUUUCUACAGAGUAAGCACUCCUAAUAAAAUGUAAGUAGAUAUUCAGCUAGUACACCAGAUUCUCACAAUAUGCCCAUUAUAAAAGAUAGCUACUAGUGGAUCUGACAAGCAAAUCAGUCAAGAGUUAUUAUAGAAGCAAAUUUAUUCAUGAAACAUGGAUUAAACAUCUAACCUCGACCAGACACUAUCAUUGAAGUUCAAAGAUGAUAUUCAUAAUGCCACAAGGAGCUCAAGCUAGGAAAUCAAUACACAAAUUCAGUUCAAUAGUGACAUCCUGCCAAGGCACAGGCUAGGAUAUCUACCUAAAGUCAAUGGGAAGGGCAAAGAGAGCCGAGAAUACAACCACCCACAUAUUCACCCUGUAACAUUGGUACUGGGCAUCUUCUCCAAAUACAUUUCCCUUUAAUGUCAAUUGGCACUCUAAAACUGUAUUUUUAACUUGAAAGUGGUAUGGCAGAGCUAGAUAGUUGGCUCAGUGGUCCAAAGCAAUAGCUGCCCUUGGAGAGGCCUUCAGUCUGGGCAUCAGCAAGCCCAUGGCAGCUCUCAGCUACCUCUCACCCCAGGUCUCACAUACAUGAGACACAAGGAUAAUGCACACAGACAUGUAGUUACAUACUCAUGAUAUAAAAAAUGAAUGACAUUUUGGGGGGGUACAAGGGGCCAUAAUUUCCACCAAUUAAAAUACGCAUUGGUGGGUCAAAAUCCUAAUGUAUGAAUGAAUUUGAACUGUGUCAAAACCCACAUAAAUACUAAACAAAGAAACAAAGAAACAAACAAACAAACAAACAAACAGAACAAAAGCAUCAAAAUUCUUUCAAUCAAUGGGCAAGGAAAAGAAAGGGCUACUCGUUCCUGUAGCUUGCUAGCAUUUAUACACACUAAAAUUUCUACUUAUGAGGCGAUUGUAAGUAUAACUAGAUAAAACCCAGGAGGCAGUUCCAAGUUGCCCUCACAACUGCCGCCUCUAAUGGUAAUGGUGCAGGUGAGAGUGUCUAUUCACCAAAGUAAUUUCACACCUGAGAUGGAGCUGGACCUCACCGCCAUGUCUGUGCAUCAACAGUUGAUACUGUCAAGAGAGGAAAUUCUAAUAUACAACAAACUGAGAAAAGCUGGGUUGUCUAAGAGGCAAGAAGGGGAGUUACAAAGUGAAAUACAGCACGAGGCACAUUCCUGGAUGAAUCAGUCCAGAGACAGCAAAUCAAACUGCCCCUAGAGAAGGUGCACCUAAGGAUGAGGAAUGGCAGUGCUCCUGGCUGGGGAAGCUUUGUCCCUAACUCCAUCGUAUAUGGACUCGCAAAGAUGCCUCCAGGAACUCGUGGGGUGUCAUAAAAAUGAAUUUCCUCUUCAACUUUGAUGAAAAGAUGUAAAGAGCUCCAUUAACAGGCAAGAAGCCCAGGUGUGUGUAGUUGAUCUCAAGUCUAAGGAAAUAAAGCAGUAACUUCACAUGUGCCCAGAGAGCCGAGCUCUACUAAGUCACAAUCAUCUUAGAGUGCAUGGGUGGCACAUGGGCUUUAGUUUUAUUGAUAUUUUGUCUUUAUUGCACUGAGAAUGAGAGAAAAACGCUUGUAAUUUCCCCAGUAUCUGAUGUGCUGAGUGCUACUGUGAUGAAUAUAGCUGCUCACUGCAUUGCUGAGACUGUCAUGAACCAUCUCUAAGAUAACUCUUGCUUUAGUUGUGGGGUUCUGUUGUUUGCUUGCAAAAAAAAUCAAUGUGCAUUAUUUCUUAAGUUUAAAAGGACCAUAUUUGUCAUGAAGUCAUCAGGAGUACUGAGGAAUGGUGUCAAGAGAAAAUGGAUAGGACACAAAACUUAUUAGCUGGAGUAAGUUCUGGUGACCUCCUCAGCUACUCUGCAAUGUGGUGAUUUUUCAACUGUUUAGCUGAUUGCCAUCCAAGGAAAUGACAGUGAAUUCAGGCCACUGUGUGGAUGCUGAAGUGCAGGCAGGUCACAGAAUCUCUAGGCUCCAGUAAUUCACAGAAAGAACAAAAGCAAACAAAAGUGGCAAAUUCAAAGCUUCAUAGCACAGGAGAGUCACACAUUGUUUGACUGGGACAUGUUUUAUAGAAGGAAACAGAAUCUAAGCAAUGCAUCUCCCAGAGUAAGAAGAAAAAACAAAUCAGGUCUUAGAAAAAGAUAUUCCUUAAUUUCCUGAAGGUGCAUUAGAACCAGGCAAGUGUCUGUCACUGUGUUUUUUUUUGUUUGUUUGUUUGUUUGUUUUGUUUGUUUUUUUUGUUUUGUUUUGUUUUUCACUCUCACAUAUAAUUCAGGCUAUGCCCCAAACUAAAAAGUAGUAAUUUUUAUUUUAGUUCCACAUGCCUAUAUAUUUUGACAGAUUAAUACCACCUAAUAAAGUCUCUUGAUAUCAAACCAAUAGUUGAAACAGUUCAUAAAGGGAAUAAAAUAAAUAGAGCCUAAAAAUUAAUUCAACAUAGACAUGUGUAUAUAUAUUAGAUGCUUGCUGCAUGUAAGGCACUGAACUAUUAGAAUCAAAUAACUGAUAAAAAGUCUUCUGAUGUUGUAGGUGAGGGAAUUGAUAGGAAUAACUUCAUAACAAUAAGAGAGUGAGACAUGCAAAUUUAUUUAAUUUUUAAUUGCAGAUUUAAUGCAGCACUGUAAGAGUAUUUAUCUAGCUUUAAUGUAUCAAGUUAUAGGAAAAAACACUAGAAAGACAUGACUUACCAAGUUACCAAUGUAAACAUGGCAGGUACUUUAAAGAAGAACAGUGGUAACACAGCCUGACCCAUUUGAGAAACUCCUGCCACUAAAUUCCAUCUGUAGAAAUCUAGCAUUCAGAGAUGUGGCUAAUGACAACCUCUGUUGCAGAGAUAAAGAGGGGGCAGAUUGCUCUAAUGUCAAAAGCAUUCAUGCAAAUGUUCAGGGGGGAAAAGGCAGAAAAAGGUAUCAUUGAUGGUAAAGAACUACAAGUGUUAAGAAACCAUCAGUUUCUAUCACGUUAAUGGAAAGUUAUAGGUACAAUCUGAUUAUGCUUGUAGAAGCACAAUCUCCCUUGGUGUACACAGCAGGUAAGCCUGCUCAGGCUGGCGCUGUGUAUUCAAAAACUACUCUGUCCUGGUAUUUGUUUUGAGACUCACUUCAUGGAGGACCAUCAUCAACUCUUAGGCUUUUAUGGUUGUAGUAACUGAAGAGUUGGUUGCUACAAGGUUGAAAGUUGGAUUUGUGAAGUAUACUCUGUAGAAUGACUCACUUCUGUGGUCACUGGUCCCUUAAUCCAAGUUCCAUGCUUCUGGUCAAAGAAGACAAAGCACAGAAGCUCCUGGGGUGACAAUCACUGUCUAGCACCCUCAGAAUAAGCCUGGGUGAUCUCAUAUCUGUUUAUGAAAGGUGGAUAACAUAAAGUAGUCAUAAAAAUGAUCAUGCCAGCAUACAAUUCAGUUGGACAUAAGAGCUACAUAUUUUAAAACAAUUGCUAAGUUUAGUAUGAAACGUUCUAAUAGCCUCACUACUUUUUAAAAGCAAAAUAGCUAGUUACUAGGUGAGCAUUUGGGCUCCAGGCAAGCUAGUCACAUCUGUGAUACAGGUAGACCCUCCUGCCUUCCAUCCUAGGUUUGUAAUCUGUAACACAGACUGAAGGUGAUUAUCACGCACAGCAUCAUGUGCCUGAUACAGCAACUGUGUUGUUCUGAGAGCCCAGUGGUAUUUGCAGACAUGGCAACAGAGGAUUAAGAUAGAUGACAUCAUAAUGGUGGGACCCGAUUACUAUGGGGUGACGCCUUUUAUAAGAGGCAGAGUCAGUGAAGACCUUCUCGUUUUGUAGCACACAGGGAAGAGGCCACAGAGGCCACAGAAGAAAGGAAGCUGUCUGAAUGCCAGGAAGAGAAGACUCAUACAAAUACAUCCUGACUAAUAUGGGCUUACAGCCAUUCCAGAUUCUCUCCACGAGGCUGGUUUUCAUCUUCCUAUAGUGUUACAAGCAUGAUGUCGCUCUCAAUGACUCCUUUGUAGAAAGAGCACAGAGAAGCCAGUGAGAAGCACAUCAAGUUGCUAAAACAGUUCAAACUAUUUUACUGACAUCAGCUCAGCAUGAAAAAAUGAAGUCUGUGAGACAGAGACUGUCCUAGUGGACUAAAGGAAAAUACUACAAUAGCCACAAGAUUGAAAUGAAGCCUCAGCUCAACAGCUCAAGCAGGUGCAUUCAGUGCUACUUUUUAUAUAAAAUUCACAUCUUCUCUUUCAUUUGAGGAAAUCCAGCAUAGAGUUGGUUUUCCAGUUACAAAAGGAGACUUAUUUUUCUACAUUUUGAACACUGAGGAUGAGAUUCCACUCUGAUCGUGGUGUGAAUAUAAACCAGGAGGAUGCUGACUAGGUGACCAGGUCCCCAGACAAGACUCCGACCACAAGCUUCAGUGACCCUGCUUGGCAGAGCACAGCAUCCAAUACUAAAACAGAAAGUCAUCUUGAGGCCCGUGCCAUGGGCCUUGUAAGCAGAAGCACUUCUCUCCUCCCCUACAAGCUUCCAUAUUUCUUUCUGAAGCACUGUUUAAACCUCUAGGCACAUCAUAACUUCAAGAUCCCUUC